rnacentral:rRNA from 1 species
ACCUGCGGAAGGAUCAUUACUGAAAAGUUCGCAAGAACCGAUCACACACCCCAUUGUCUACCAUUACCAUGUUGCUUCCACUGGACAGGCCGGACCCCUCUUCUUCAAUACUGAAGGCGGGAGGUUCAGCCCUCUGGCCAUUCGACCUUAAAAAUCGAACAGCUGGGGAGUGCCGGUGGAUGGCCCCCUUAAAAAAACUUUUUAAAGAAGCAUUAUACGUCUGAACUACUGUUUUAUAACAAGAAAACAUUAUAAAACUUUCAACAACGGAUCUCUAGGCUCUUGCAUCGAUGAAGAACGCAGUGAAAUGCGAUACGUAAUGUGAAUUGCAGAAUCUCGUGAAUCAUUGAAUCUUUGAACGCACAUUGCGCCUUAUGGUAUUCCAUAAGGCAUGCCUGUCUGAGCGUCAGCUCCCCCCCACUCAAGCACUUUUUUCUAAUCCAAAAUCGUGCUUGGAUUAUUUUGGAUGAGCAGCUGUCAAAGGCUGCUGUCCAUAAAUUCAUUGGCAGUAUGGUUUGUUCUUUCCAGGCUGAGCGUGAUAAAUUUACACUUAUACCGUUCAAUAUUGGAGGCAUUGUACUCGCCCUUAACCCACAAUAUCAAUAACUUAAGUAAAUUUUUGUUAUUUGGGGACCUCAGAUCAGGUAGGGA